GCUUUUGCGCAGUGGCAGUAUUGUAGCCAAUUAGGUUUAUCUGAGGCACGAUUAUUGCUAAUUGAAAACUUUAACUCCAGGGAUAAUUUUUCCUCUUCCUUAUAUUCUUCUAUUUCUGUAUCACAGGAUU
rfam:Canis lupus familiaris chromosome 4, whole genome shotgun sequence.